rfam:Aedes albopictus isolate Foshan contig164054, whole genome shotgun sequence.
UGCCCAGCAACUCCUAUUCCUACCUCCUCAUGAUACCGGCCGGAAACUAUGAGCAACCUUAGGGAAGAUCGGGUAACCAACCCCGGUGGGAACUUUGGUCGUAGGCUGACAGGGAAGG